GGGAAUGGGAUCUCCCGGGCGGCGCCGCUGGAGGCGCUGCUGUUCGACAUCGACGGCACCAUGUGCGUCUCCGACCCGUUCCACCACCGCGCCUUCUCGGAGCUCCUCCAGAACCUGGGCUACAACGGCGGGGCGCCCAUCACGCCGGAGUUCGGCAUGGCGCACAUGGCCGGCCGCAGCAACGAGCAGAUCGGCCGCUUCCUCUUCCCGGACUGGCCGCAGGCCCGGCUCGACGCCUUCUUCGCCGAGAAGGAGGCGCUCUUCGCGCGGUACGCCGGGGAGGGGCUCCGGGAGGUGCCCGGGCUGGCGGAGCUGUGCCGGUGGGCGCGGGAGCGCGGGCUGAAGCGGGCCGCCGUCACCAACGCGCCCCGCGCCAACGCCGAGCUCAUGAUCGGGAUCCUCGGCCUGGCCGACUUCUUCCAGCUCGUCGUCGCCGGCGAGGACUGCGGCGAGGGCCGUUCCAAGCCCUGCCCCGACCCCUACCUCCGCGCGCUUGACCUGCUCGGCGCGUCGGCGGAGCGGUCUCUGGUGUUCGAGGACUCCGUCGUCGGCGUGCAGGCCGGCGUGGCCGCGGGGAUGCCCGUCGUGGCUGUCGCGAGCGAGAGCCGGGAGGCCAAGGUCGUCGCCGCCGGCGCGUCCAUGGUCGUCAGGGACUACCGCGACGCCGAGCUCUGGGCCGCGUUGGAGGCUGCUGCCGGAGCUCCCAAGAUUGAUUCAGAGCCGAGCGCGGUGGACGCCAAGCUCUGA
rnacentral:rRNA from 1 species